AUCCCCACCCAGCGUCCUUCCAAGUCCAUUGGACGAGUGGCAUCGCUGAGGCGCCUGGCGGGCGCAGCUCUCCUCACCUUGCCCUUCCUCCCAUUGCGCACACACUCCGCACCUCGCAUUCCCAGGUGCCCCCUUUGUAUACAAGGGAAUAAGAGGCACUGCGAAGCGUGUGUGUGUGAUGUUGUUUUUCUGUUUCCUUCGUCUGAGGGAAGUUGACAGAAGGUCAGAAGUUCAAACGCUGCUAGCUAAUGCAGCAAAGGAGGCCAGCCGAGUAGAAGGAAGGGAAGCUUUGCUCUGCGCUCUGCGCUCAGAGAGAGACCCCAAGGCGCUUGGGAAGAAGGCUGCGGGGCUGGAGCGGGGGGGGGGCGGCGUGUGUAGAGAAGCAACCUAGAGCCGAGCAACAGAGGCCGGCAUCUCCUCCUUGCUGCGCCCCCCCCCAAUUGCUCAUAUGCAUCUAUGCCCAGUUCCCAAGCUCGUCCCAUGCUCUCUUGAGAAGGAAAGAACUUGCUUGCGAUUGCUUUUCUGAUUGACUUCGCCUAAGAAGAUCUAGACAUAACAUGUUAGGCUCGUGCUGUGGGGAUGCGCGCACAGAGGGAGAGAGGGAGAAGGAGGGGGGGGGCGUCUGUUCCUGGAGCUUCCGCGCCACACAGCAAGUCAGCAGCACCAGAAGACGGCAGCAGCAGCAGCAGCAGCCGCCUCGGCCGCCUUUCAAAAGGAUACAAACUGAAAUUCUAGCCGUUGCGAUCGAUACAAGAGGAUUGCCGUGGGACUCCUCACGCGUCAUCAAGUGAACGGCGCGGAUGGGGCUAAGUUUAAUGUGAAAUUAAUGGUUGUCUCCCGCUGGCUGGCAACGGUCGCCUUUAUCCCGGGCUGCAGAAAGCUCCUGGUCGGACAAAGGUGUUGAGAGACGAGCAAAAUCGUGGAGAGAUGGGCCUGGAGAUAAGAGCAGCUUCAACGGCCUUUGCCGAGUCCCAACCAUGAGCAAACAGGUUGGUCGUGCCUGUUGUUCGCUUUUGAGGUUUCCAAAGAAAGCAUCUCACAGGAAUUCAGCAACUCACUGAAAUAAAUAAGGACUUUUUUUUCUGUGGAGGGGGGUAUCAAAAAGUUACCACCUAUUUAUCAAGCUACCCACUACGAUCUACAGAAUGUCUCCAGACUUUUCACAAGACUCUCGUUACUUGCAAGCCUUGCUUGGGGAAAAGUGAAUUAUCAUAAAAUCUCAAACAGA